UAUCCUGUAUCCUGUGUCACUGUAUCCUUCCGUUGCACCUGCGAGCCCAACGCCUGACCCGAUGACUAAAACAACGUUCUCCAUUUUACCCCGGGAUUUUACCCGGAUUUCGGAGUAUGUAUAAGAGCCAGAUGCGGUAGGUGACGUCUUCAAUCCGGACCUGGCAGCCAUCUCAUCCAUACUGCUUACGGGAGAGAGAAGUGGAGAGAUACUGGAGACAAUAUUUGAUUGGCUUUGAAUAUCACCAUGCCAUCAUCGUCAGCGCCUCUACUCGCCUUACUGCUAGUAGCAGCGACAGUGCAUGCGAGGAUGAGAGAAGUUCCUGCCGGACAAAUGAUCGACUUGCCAACUUAUUAUCCGGAAAGCAACGGAGAAAGCAUAUAUCCCGGCGAUGAUGGCGAUGACGCCGCCAAUCAAAUGAACAGUGAUGCAAGAACAGGUACAAAUCCAUAUACAAAUAAUUAUUAACUGCAAUUUUAUUAUUACAUCGUAAACGAAUGGUAUUCUGUAAUAUUUAAUAUUUAUGCCGCGUCCAUUUACUAUGCAUGCUUACUGUAUAAAAACUUUAUCGGGUGACGAUAUAUGGUUUGUAGAUUUAAUUGCCGUGUCCUCGUAGUUGUCAUGUCCCCGCAGCUGCCGUGUCCCCGUAGCUACCGUGUCCCCGUAGUUGCCAU